GGAUGAACGCUGGCGGCGUGCCUAAUACAUGCAAGUCGAGCGAACGGACGAGAAGCUUGCUUCUCUGAUGUUAGCGGCGGACGGGUGAGUAACACGUGGAUAACCUACCUAUAAGACUGGGAUAACUUCGGGAAACCGGAGCUAAUACCGGAUAAUAUUUUGAACCGCAUGGUUCAAAAGUGAAAGACGGUCUUGCUGUCACUUAUAGAUGGAUCCGCGCUGCAUUAGCUAGUUGGUAAGGUAACGGCUUACCAAGGCAACGAUGCAUAGCCGACCUGAGAGGGUGAUCGGCCACACUGGAACUGAGACACGGUCCAGACUCCUACGGGAGGCAGCAGUAGGGAAUCUUCCGCAAUGGGCGAAAGCCUGACGGAGCAACGCCGCGUGAGUGAUGAAGGUCUUCGGAUCGUAAAACUCUGUUAUUAGGGAAGAACAUAUGUGUAAGUAACUGUGCACAUCUUGACGAUACCUAAUCAGAAAGCCACGGCUAACUACGUG
rnacentral:rRNA from 1 species